rnacentral:rRNA from 1 species
CCUACGGGUGGCAGCAGUGAGGAAUAUUGGUCAAUGGGCGCGAGCCUGAACCAGCCAAGUAGCGUGAAGGAUGACUGCCCUACGGGUUGUAAACUUCCUUUAUAAAGGAAUAAAGUUGGGCACGUGUGCCUUUUUGUAUGUACUUUAUGAAUUCGGAUCGGCUAACUCCGUGCCAACAGCCGCGGUAAUACGGAGGAUCCGAGCGGUAUCCGGGUUUAUUGGGUUUAAAGGGAGCGUAGAUGGGUUGUUAAGUCAGUUGGGAAAGUUUGCGGCUCAACCGUAAAAUUGCAAUUGAUACUGGCAGACUUGAGUACAGUAGAGGUAGGCGGAAUUCGAGGUGUAGCGGUGAAAUGCGUAGAUAUAACGAAGAACACCGAUUGCGAAGGCAGCUUACUAAGCUGCCACUGACAUUGAGGCACGAAAGUGUGGGUAGCAAACAGGAUUAGAUACCCUAGUAGUC